rnacentral:rRNA from 1 species
GGAUGAAUAUUGGUCAAUGGGCGCAAGCCUGAACCAGCCAUCCCGCGUGAAGGAAGAAGGCCCUAUGGGUUGUAAACUUCUUUUCCAGGGGGUGAAUAAUUCCGAUGUAUCGGGAGAUGACGGUACCCUGGGAAUAAGCAUCGGCUAACUCCGUGCCAGCAGCCGCGGUAAUACGGAGGAUGCGAGCGUUAUCCGGAUUUAUUGGGUUUAAAGGGUGCGUAGGCGGAACAAUAAGUCAGUGGUGAAAGAC